GACGAACGCUGGCGGCGUGCUUAACACAUGCAAGUCGAACGAAGAGCGACGGAAGCUUGCUUCUAUCAAUCUUAGUGGCGAACGGGUGAGUAACGCGUAAUCAACCUGCCCUUCAGAGGGGGACAACAGUUGGAAACGACUGCUAAUACCGCAUACGAUCUAACCUCGGCAUCGAGGAUAGAUGAAAGGUGGCCUCUACAUGUAAGCUAUCACUGAAGGAGGGGAUUGCGUCUGAUUAGCUAGUUGGAGGGGUAACGGCCCACCAAGGCGAUGAUCAGUAGCCGGUCUGAGAGGAUGAACGGCCACAUUGGGACUGAGACACGGCCCAGACUCCUACGGGAGGCAGCAGUGGGGAAUCUUCCGCAAUAGACGAAAGUCUGACGGAGCAACGCCGCGUGAGUGAUGACGGCCUUCGGGUUGUAAAGCUCUGUUAAUCGGGACGAAAGACCUUCUUGCGAAUAGUGAGAAGGAUUGACGGUACCGGAAUAGAAAGCCACGGCUAACUACGUG
rnacentral:rRNA from 1 species